rnacentral:rRNA from 1 species
UACGUAGGCAGCAAGCGUUGUUCGGAAUUACUGGGCGUAAAGAGUGUGUAGGCGGUGCUCCAAGUCUGCUGUGAAAGCUCGCGGCUCAACUGCGAGAGGUCGGUGGAAACUGUCUGACUAGAGGACGGUAGAGGGGGGUGGAAUUCCCGGUGUAGUGGUGAAAUGCGUAGAGAUCGGGAGGAACACCAGCGGCGAAGGCGGCCCCCUGGGCCGCUCCUGACGCUGAGACGCGAAGGCCAGGGUAGCGAACGGG